GGAAGGAACGCUCCGAAACACCUCCGGGGCGCGGAGGCUUGCUGCGAAGUUGUGCCGGGUUGGCGGUGAACUAAUUCAGCCUUGAGGAGGCUUUACUUUCACUGCAGUGUCAUCAGUCUUUUACGAACUGAGGAGGUAUGGUGUGGGUUCUGACUUGCAAGUUUCCUUUUCUGUUGCUGACCCUCAGAAAGAUAUUUGGCUUAUAGUGGAUGCUGAUGAAUGAACAGACAGCAGCAGUCAGGCAGUCCUGAGAACCAUAAGGGUUUUCUGAGGAAGGGGGCAUAAUAUUCCAAGCUUGAUUUCAUCCUCCAUUCUGAUCAUUUGAUGUCCCACUGUCUGGCAGCUGAUUUGUUUAGUGACCACUGACUUGAAAUACACAAAAGUGGCUGACCAGUGAAUUCCAGGGUAUCUAAGAAACCCAAAAUAGAUGUGAUGGACCCAGGAGACACGCUAUGGAGGCAGGAAUCCUCUUAGACGUUAUUUACCACCUAAUUGGUUGUUGUAUUAAUUAUGGCUGGUGCUGACUUCUAACCGUUAAGUGAUUAUAUGCUGUUCAGAGCAUGAAUAGGACAUGCUCAGAAAAUGGGCCACUUUCCCUCUUUCACCACCGUGGGGUGUUGCUGUAAGUGUUUCUCACAGUGCCCUGGACUCCAGGGAGCUGUCC